CAAUAGCGUAUAUUAAAGUUGUUGCAGUUAAAAAGCUCGUAGUUGGAUUUCGGGACGGGCCAGUUGGUCCGCCGCAAGGUGUGUUACUGACUGGUCUGUUCUUCUUCGCAAAGACUGCGUGUGCUCUUCGUUGAGUGUGCGUAGGAUUUACGACGUUUACUUUGAAAAAAUUAGAGUGUUCAAAGCAGGCUAUCGCUUGAAUACAUGAGCAUGGAAUAAUGGAAUAGGACUUUGGUCCUAUUUUGUUGGUUUCUAGGACCGAAGUAAUGAUUAAGAGGGACAAUUGGGGGCAUCCGUAUUUCGUUGUCAGAGGUGAAAUUCUUGGAUUUACGAAAGACGAACAACUGCGAAAGCACUUGCCAAGAGUGUUCUCAUUAA
rnacentral:rRNA from 1 species